UAUGUGAUCGUCUCUCGCAUAUCAAUAAGCGGAGGAAAAGAAACUAACAAGGAUUCCCCUAGUAACGGCGAGUGAAGCGGGAAGAGCUCAAAUUUGAAAUCUUAAAGGGUUUCCCUUUACGAAUUGUAGUUUAAAGAAGUGUUUUCUGUUGAGGUUUUGGUAAAAGUUCUUUGGAAUAGGACAUCAUAGAGGGUGAGAAUCCCGUAUUUGACCUUUACUUUCAACUUUGUGAUACACUUUCAAAGAGUCGGAUUGUUUGGGAAUGCAGUCCAAAAUGGGUGGUAAAUUUCAUCUAAAGCUAAAUAUUGGCGAGAGACCGAUAGCGAACAAGUACCGUGAGGGAAAGAUGAAAAGAACUUUGAAAAGAGAGUUAAACAGUACGUGAAAUUGUCAAAAGGGAAGCGUUUGACACCAGUGUUGUUUUUCUGAAAAUCAAUUAAAGAACUGUUUAUGCUAAGUUGUUUAGACUUUAUCAGCUAUCUGCUUAGUUUUGAGCUUUUCUUUAAUGCACUUUUCAGUUAACAAGUCAACAUCAAUUUCUUUUGCUGUAAAAAAGCUUGAGGAAGGUGGCUUGAGAUUCGUCUUAAGUGUUUAUAGCCUCUUGCCUAUGCAGUCGGAGAGAUUGAGGUCUGCAGCGUAGAUCCUUCGGGGCUAAAUGCAUUUGUGCUAAGUUAUAGCAUUUUAUAGACAACUUGUUGACUAUGAUUUGUCUUGUAGCUUACUCGCUUAUGUUAUUUUACCUACGCUUAGGAUGUUGAUCUACAGAGCGAGAGU
rnacentral:rRNA from 1 species